AUUCAUUAUAUAAUUUGUAACUGAAUGUACAAAAUUGGGCAGACAGAAAAAGAGAAUAAAAGUAAUAUUUUCCAAAUAUUAUGGUGCUGAAGGUAAGUCAUGAUAGAUAGCUUAGCUUCCCGAGGGAAACUAUUAUUCCCCAAUCUCAAUGCGGAUGUGGACAGCAUUCCCUCUGAUUUUUAAAAGUGACUAGAAGAUGACCAUGCCAAAUGAAUAAAACUGUUCAGUAAGUGCCAUCAUCCUUUGAUUCUGGUAGUUUAGAAAAGCAUCAGCUGGGCCGUCAUUCUGCAGCUGGUAUAUAACACCUCCUGGAAGCACAUCCUUUGUUCAGAGAAACUCACUGGGGAUGAGAGUCAGAGUAGAAUAGGCUUUGCCUAGAGUCCUGAGGGAAGAACAGCUUUGUCCCUGUGCUGACCGGGGAAGCAAUAUCAUAACAUGGAGAGAUACCGAGAGCCACAGACCAACCUCUAGUGUGGUGCUUCUCAACCUUAAAACUCUAUACCUACCUGCCUUCAUACCAUAAGGAUGCCUUCCUCAAACAAGAUUCGGAUCUCCCACCCCACGCCAGAGGGCUAUCUUCUGUAAAAAUCACUCUUCUGCAAAUUCCUACCAGCCAAGAACUUCUGUCCCCACUCCCACCCUUGUAUAUGAAAAGACAAGAAACAAUUAUGCUAUUUUCCUAAUAUAAAUUUAAGAUACAGGAUGUGCUUUUUCAAAAUAUAGUCCUCUCCCCCAGUAUUGUGGUAUUACUCCCUGGGACAGAAGUGAGUUCUUUAAUUGGUGAAUCAAAGUUCUAGGAGAAUAAAGGAUCAGGGAUAGGAAGGAGACAGGAGAGAGACUGAAGGACCAAACAGGAUUAGUGGAGAAAUUUGUAGGCUUUCAGAAGGAAGGCCUGGAGCUUUGGAAGCUCCACAAAGAUGCUACAGUCUAAAUCCAUGGAUAUCCAGGAUCCACUUAGCGAAGAUAGGAAAACUUUUUUUUUUUUUUUUUUUUUUUUGAGGAUAGGAAAACUUCUAAUGCAAUGUUGUCCCUUUGGACGGGAAUACCUCUCAUUAAUAGAAAUCUAAUACGAGUAGCCUGACCUCAGGCUGCAGAUAUUGAGCUGAGGGGAGAACAACGGGGUCUCAAAAGAUCUUUUUGGAGACCAGAAAAACAAAAUAUAUACCAUUGGAACAUUGAAGGUUUUGGGUAUGGGGCAGAAAUUAAUCACAUUUAAAUUUGAAUUAAUUUAAUCAGGUUAUUUUCCUAAUAAUUAACACAACUCGAGAAUGGAAAUUUUUGGCCAGGUGUGGUGGCUCAUGACUGUAAUCUCGGCACUUUGGGAGGCUGAGGCAGGUGGAUCACCUGAGGUCAGGAGUUCAAGACCAGCCUGGCCAACAUAGUAAAACCCUGUCUCUACUAAAAAUACAAAAUUAGCUGGGCGUGGUGGCACAUGUCUGUAAUCUUAGCUACUUGGGGGCCUGAGGCAGGAGAGUCGCUUGAACUCGGGAGGUGGAGGUUGCAGUGAGCCAAGAUUGUGCCAUUGCAUUCUAGCCUGGGUGACAGAGUGAGACUCCAUCUCAAAAAAAAAAAAAGAAAAGUUUUUGUUGUAGGUAGGCAGAAGCAGAAUGCAUUUAAAAAGAAAAGAUGAUUUGGGAUCCUAGAGAGAAUCACAUUUCUUGGAUCACUCUUAAGCAUCAGUGAGUGACUGAACAGUAUUCAACCCUGUUUAUACCACAGAGCCUAGCAUAUGCAUAUACAAUAAUAUUGGCUCAAAUAAAUAUUUACUUGCUGGUUGGCUUUGGUGACACAUUAGAAGCUGUCAGUCAUGAUAUGUUUUAUGCUAUUGUAAAGGAGUACAGCUACUAUUUAUUUCAAGGGAGGUUUGAAUUUAAAGAUCUUUGUAGCAUAAAUCCGAUCUAGCAAUUUGCCUCAGUUUACCUGUCCAUUAUCAUCCAGGAGAUGUCUGUAUUCAGGUGGGAUAGUGUCAUCUCUUUCUCCAAGCUUGUCUCUAUGUUCAGCUUUAGCUUUUUCCUAUAUCAACAGUGAGCAGAUAGAAUUAAUAUUCAUUUCCUCUUUCAUUUAGAAAAUACAUUGUCAAAUGCAGCAUUCAGCAUUUGUUGUACUUUCAUGAGGCAAAACAUAUGGUCUGUUUUUAUUUUUUAAGCAACAGAACAACACAGAUGACUUCAACAGACUGCUAGUUGGCUAAAAUAUAAAAUCCCGUAUGCUUCUGUAUGUCAAUUCAUAUCUGUGAAUUUUCUAGCUAUAUUUUAAAUGGAAAUAAAUGAUAAAUAAUUAUCCUCAGAAACCAUGUUAGGAGAUUAGAACCCAAAGGUAUAAAAUAUCUUUUUCUUUUUUUCUGUAUGGUUUCACUUUUCUAAUACAAAAUCAGGCCACUGUACCUUGCCAUUUAGAGAGGUCACAUUUACAACUUUGCCUAUUUAUAAGCAACCCUGAAG
rnacentral:lncRNA from 1 species